CUCUGCUUUCACCUUCCCCUCUCUCUUCUCUCCCACUCUUUCAGCUCUUUAUUUAUUCCCUUUGUCUCUCCAGCCCCACCUUAACUCCGUUGUUAGUUUUCCUUUGUUAUAUACUCCUUCUCUUUUCCAAUCAUACCUUUACCGCCAUAUGUUUGGUUGAACCUUCAACCUCGACAGUGUCCUCCUUGGCGCCGGAAGACUCCAGCUUGUUGUAUUGUAGCGGGUAGGUAAACUGGGGCACCCAGGGGGAAAGAGAGG